rnacentral:rRNA from 1 species
CACGUAGGGGACGAGCGUUGUCCGGAUUCAUUGGGCGUAAAGCGCGCGUAGGCGGCUCGGAAAGUCGGUCGUGAAAUGCCGGGGCUCAACCCCGGGACUGCGUCCGAUACUCCCGAGCUGGAGGCAGGUAGGGGAGAUCGGAAUUCCUGGUGUAGCGGUGAAAUGCGCAGAUAAUCAGGAGGAACACCGGUGGCGAAGGCGGAUCUCUGGGCCUUGCCUGACGCUGAGGCGCGAAAGCUAGGGG